UACGAAGGGGGCUAGCGUUGCUCGGAAUCACUGGGCGUAAAGCGCACGUAGGCGGCUUUCUAAGUCAGGGGUGAAAUCCUGGAGCUCAACUCCAGAACUGCCUUUGAUACUGGAGAGCUUGAGUCCGGAAGAGAUGAGUGGAACUCCGAGUGUAGAGGUGAAAUUCGUAGAUAUUCGCAAGAACACCAGUGGCGAAGGCGGCUUACUGGUCCGGUUCUGACGCUGAGGCGCGAAAGCGUGGGGAGCAAACAGG
rnacentral:rRNA from 1 species